AUGGUACUCACCUCAUACCCACCCUUUGCCGAGGGGCUGUGCAGCACAGGGAAUGGCAUAGAGAAGCCGGCCUGGGCCCUGCCAAGGGGAGACCUGCCCCGAGCUGGGAGUUGUUUGGUCCCUGACGCUGCCCUGGACUCCAGGCUCCUCUGCUGUGUGGCUCUUUGUCUCCUGGGAGCAGGCCCGGUGGACUCUGGACUCACCUAGACCCCAAAAUACAUGAUCAAAUCAAGAUAACAGCAAGAGACACUGAGAUGUUCCCCUGUCUCUGGACACCUCUCUGCGUCCUGGUACCAACAGGCCCUGGGCCAGGGCCAUCAGUUCCCAGCUGAGUAUUACAGAGGGGAAGAGAGAGGAAAAGGAAAUACCCUAGAUAGAUUCUCAGGUCAACAGUUCAGUGACUCUAGCUCUGAGCCUGACUUGAGCUCCUUGGAGCUGACGGAGGCGGCCCUGUAUCUCUGUGCCAGCAGCCAAGACGCAGCCCUGAAUGAUCAGCUGCCUCUGGUACAAAAACAUUCCUGCCCCAGCUCAGGAAGUGGCCGCGAGGGCACUGACCGCCAGCCAACCAGCCCCAGGCCCUGGUAA